AAGGGGUCCUCUGCACCUGCGUGUAGACUUAGUUCCCAUGGAACCCUGGGCUGACCAGGGUACUACUGCCUGUUCCACCAGGUAACAGGGGGCGGCCAGCAUCAUGCCUGAACCUUUCACCCCUAGCGUGUCCACCAUCGCCUAUGGAGAUGUGUGAGCCUACCAAGAGGGCCACAAGCUCGGAAAGACUCCAGGUCUGGGGUCAUACCGUCUCCCGGCCAUUUUCCUGGCUGGCUGUGCCUCUUGCCAGUCCUACUGAGCUAAUGGGCGUUGACAUGAAUGGGGCCUCUGAGACCGUCCCGAGUGUUUAUUUCACACGAUACUGUGCCCCCCAGCUAUGCAACUGCACAGCCGGACAGGUGGCUUUUCACUACACUCUUAGGGUCUGUCUUUUCCAGCUCUAUUUCCGCUCUUUCUUUCCCUCUCUCUUUCUCUGGUUCCCCUGGGGCAGACAGGACUUUUCCUGUCUCCCUCUUCUCUUCUGUCCUCUUUGUCUCUCUGUCUCUUUGCCUCUUUUCUCUUUCCUUCCCCUUCCCUCCCUUUUCUAGUAAAACUUAUCACUUAAGCUCUGUCUGCCUGGCCUGUUUGUCCCCUGCCUCAGUCAUUCUCACCUGCCAUGGGAUCCACAAUGGGCCCCUAUGCAAGGUCCCCUCAAGCUUUAUCCUAACUCUAGGAAUUCUUGAGAACAAAGGAACCAACCCCUGCUGCCCUUUGGUAUAUCGGGGACUUCCACUCCACCACCCAGUUUCCAAAGCUUUAGACUCAAGAGGAUAUAUGGGGCACAGUGCCCUUCAGUCCAUCCCCCAGACUUUGAGCGUCAAGGAAAUCCAGGUGAACCUGAACUGGGAGCCGGUGCUGGCCAUCUUGCUGUCACCUGUGAGGUAGCUGGAGCCCAGGUCGAAUCAAUUGCAGGCCGCAUGAGACUCCAGAAUCAAGAUGGCAAACCUUUGGAUGUCAUCAGCGGACUCCAGUUCAGAUCCCCUUGGACAGACCUAGGUUACAGAAGAACCUGAACCCCAAGUGCGAACUGGGGUGACCCAAAGGGCUCCCUUCACUUCCUCCAGAGAGAGAGAGCACUGAGGUCGGCUUUCCCUAAGUAUGGGAGACACAAACUGUGAGUCCUUCCAGGUAAGAUGACAUCUGGCAGUGACAUAGUCUGACAAAGGACUUAGAAAAGAAAGUGUAAAAUAGCUCCUCAGUCUUCCCACAUUGGCACUCUCCCCAUGAGGGAUACUGGAACAUAGGUUUCUGUUUCAGUCGCCAUAAUCUGAGUGGCUUCCUCACAAAGAUUCUUUGGACUCUAGGUUUCUCAUGAGUCCUUUUAUAAUGAAGGCAGGAGAAAGGCUCUAGCUGAGUACAUUCCCACGUUGGCCACAUUUUUAAAUAUAAUUAUUUAACUCUACUUUCUGUGCAUUGGUGUACAGGUAUCAGAUCCCCUGGAACUGGAGUUUCAGUCAGUUGUAAGCUACCAUGUGGGUGCUGGGAAUUGAACCUGGGUCCUCUGGAAGAGCAGUAGCCCAUGCUCUUAACUGCUGAGCUGUAGUGGCAUCUUGCCUUGCCAGUGAACUUGUAGUGGUGGCCACACCCUUUGGGCGUGUUUUCAGGUGCAGAUUUCAGGUGACCCAUUAGGUUUCGGAGAUAUAGGACGCACAGAGACGACAUCUUCCAGAGCAGGAAGGCCAUGGGGAUUAUUUACUCUUUAUCUAUGUAAGUGCUUUCCUAAUAAAUACAUAUUUAUCAUCUA